rnacentral:lncRNA from 1 species
GUAAAAGUCACCUAUUCACUAGGCACUGUUCACUUGUUUAAACAGAACAGACAAUAAAAAUAUUGUCCACAAACUCGCAAUUUCAACUCAAAGGCUGUAGCUAGAAAUUCCUCUACAUGUCAUGCUUUAAUAGCGACGAGGUGAAUAGGAUCGAGAUCUGGAUCGAGAUCUGUAGCCCCCUCGGCUGUAAUAUGGGGACGGUGAUCUCCUCCUGUAAAACUGAUCUCUGUCUUGAACAGCUCUCCAUCCUCCUCCUCCACCGCCACCGCCUCCUCUGUAUGAUCUGCUGUAAUAGUCACGAUCAUCAUAUCCCCUAUCAUAUCCUCUGUCAUAGUAAUCCCGUCGCCGUGAGCUGCCAUAAGUGGGUCUUCCCAUGUAGAUUCCAGGGGUAGGUGUGUGAGGUCUUUUUGUUAUGGAAAAGUCUACCCGGAUUCUUCUUCCAUCCAACUCCAUUCCAUUGGCACGUUCCUUAGCUUCCUUAGCAUCCUCAACGUUUUCAAAGUACACAAAUGCAAAUCCCCUUGAACGUCGAGACUGCUGAUCGUACACAAUGGAAACAUCAGCAAUUGGACCAUACUUGGAGAAAACUUCCCUCAGAUCUCGUUCUGUGGUGUACAAGCUCAACCCAAACACACCAAGACAACAAUUUGGAUCAGGAUUUGCCCUGUUUCCAAUGUGGCGUCUGCGAGUAGACAUGGGUGAAUGGCUGUGACUGUGUCGUCGCCGAUAAUCCCGACUGUACGACCUACUUCUGGAUCUUCUGUGAGAGCGGGAACGAGAGCGUGACCUGGUGUAGUGCCUGCGGGAACUCCUCCUUGAUCUAGAUCUGGAUUCAGACCUGGAUCUAGAUUUUGACCUGGAACGCCUUGAAUCCUCCUUAGAUCGAGAUCUUGCAGGGGUGUGCCUCCCCGACUUGCCAGACCCAUGAGCACUUCCGCUUCUGGAAGCAGAACGGGAUUCCCGCUCGCCGUAGUUCUGCUCCCCGCUGUCGCUCAUCGUCCCGCCGCGCCACUCCCCGCCACCUCCGCGCCGACCCGACCCGACCGUCCCCGGCGCCAGCGCUCUCCGCAGAGGAAGUGACGUGAGCCUCACGCUGCAGACCCCGUCC